GACCCGUGAACAUGUAACCACAACGGGGUGACCGUGAUAAGGGCCUCGGUAGUUGGUGGUGUCUUUUUGGGGGCAUCAUGGAUUCCGUUGGACCAUAACAAAACCCCGGCACGGUAUGUGCCAAGGAAAACAAAAAUGAGAAGGACACUACCUGUUUCGCCCCGUUUGCGGUGUGCGUACAGGUCGUGGCCUCCUUGGAAUCACAAACGACUCUCGGCAACGGAUAUCUCGGCUCACGCAUCGAUGAAGAACGUAGCAAAAUGCGAUACUUGGUGUGAAUUGCAGAAUCCCGUGAACCAUCGAGUUUUUGAACGCAAGUUGCGCCCGAAGCCAUCCGGCUGAGGGCACGCCUGCCUGGGCGUCACGCAUCGCGUCGCUCCCCACCAUACCUCCCCAACGGGUUGGCAUGGUGUUGGGGGCGGAUAAUGGCCUCCCGUGCUUGUGUUUCGGUUGGCCUAAAUAAGAGUUCCCUUCGGCGGACACACGACUAGUGGUGGUUGAAUAGACCCUCGUCUUUUGUUGCGUGUCGUGAGCUGUAAGGGUAGCCCUCAUCAAAGACCCCAUUGUAUCGUCUUCGGAUGAUGCUUCGACCGCGACCCCAGGUCAGGCGGGACUACCCGCUGAG
rnacentral:rRNA from 1 species